rnacentral:pre_miRNA from 1 species
GCGGGAACGCCACCAGCAGCACUGCCUCACGGUACUUGGAGGGAGGUUGUCCGUGGUGAGUUCGCAUUAUUUAAUGAUGC